rnacentral:rRNA from 1 species
CCCUACGGGAGGCAGCAGUCGGGAAUAUUGCGCAAUGGAGGAAACUCUGACGCAGUGACGCCGCGUAUAGGAAGAAGGUUUUCGGAUUGUAAACUAUUGUCGAUAGGGAAGAAAAAAGACUGUACCUAUCAAGAAAGCUCCGGCUAACUACGUGCCAGCAGCCGCGGUAAUACGUAGGGAGCAAGCGUUAUCCGGAAUUAUUGGGUGUAAAGGGUGCGUAGGUGGCAGGGCAAGUCAGAUGUGAAAGCCCGGGGCUCAACCCCGGUACUGCAUUUGAAACUGUCCAGCUGGAGUGCAGGAGAGGU